rnacentral:rRNA from 1 species
UACGAAGGGGGCUAGCGUUGCUCGGAAUCACUGGGCGUAAAGGGUGCGUAGGCGGGUCUUUAAGUCAGGGGUGAAAUCCUGGAGCUCAACUCCAGAACUGCCUUUGAUACUGAAGAUCUUGAGUUCGGGAGAGGUGAGUGGAACUGCGAGUGUAGAGGUGAAAUUCGUAGAUAUUCGCAAGAACACCAGUGGCGAAGGCGGAGCU